CUCAGCAACCUUUGAAGUGCCAACUCCUGUGACGUGUCACUUUUAUCAUGGAGAUGUCUGUUUAUGUUAAUGAACCAGCCAAUCCAAGGCCCAGCCGCCAACCACAACUAUUUGAAAGGAGAUACGUGGAUAUUCUUUUUUUGAGCUUUGGGCUGCUGUGUCUCACACAAGCCACUCUUAACAUCACUUUGCGAUUGACUGCUUCAGCCAACUGUGAAAACAACACCACUGUAAUCGAGACUCAGAGCUCACCUCCAUGUGAGGCAGACAGGACCA